rnacentral:piRNA from 1 species
UCAGACUGGAAAGGCGGACGGCAGU